rnacentral:rRNA from 1 species
UACGUGAGGGGCGAACGUUGUUCGGUGUCACUGGGCUUAAAGGGUGCGUAGGUGGUUGCGUAAGUAGGGUGUGAAAUCCCUCGGCUUACCCGGGGAACUGCGUGUGAUACUGGCGGGCUUGAAUUCGGGAGAGGGAUGUGGAAUUCCAGGUGUAGCGGUGAAAUGCGUUGAUAUCUACAGGAACUCCGGUGGCGAAAGCGGCGUGCUGGACCUUUUCUGACGCUGAGGCGCGAAAGCUAGGGGAGCAAACGGGG